AGAGGAUCUUAACCCUAGGAUCACAACACCACCAUUGGAGCCGCCUUCAACUUUCUUCAGUUUGCUGUUAGUUCAUUGGGCAAGUCCAGGUAAAUCAAUUUCUUUCAACUUGUAUUCUUUCUCCCGUUUUAGUACGAUCUCUCUCUUCCGCUUCAUCUCCCACUUUAAUUGGGACGAGUGGGAUCGGCUUCAAUAUAGGGGUCAAGUCCUAAUUUCUUUUUCACAAUCCAGAGUAUUCCACCUGUUGAGAGAGGCGAUUUCAGGUUGCAAUUAAGAAGGCUGGAAUAUUAGGGAAUCGGGAUUUAAUUUUGUAUCCAAGUCCAAAGACUUGGCUGAGGAUGAAUGAAGAAGUAGUUAAGGGCACAGUUGCUCUGAGAUAGGAGAAAAUCAUGAAAGUAAAGACGGGAAAGACAGAGACAAAAAGGAGAAGAAGAAAAGCAAGACAGAAAUGGCGGGUGUUAAUGUUCUAGGGAAGAAUAGCUUGACUGAUGCAGAGGUUGGAAAUAAAAGGGAGAGCUCUAACGGAGAAGUGUUGGAAAAGGCUGAGCCUGUAAAGAAGAAGAGAAAGAAAGAGAAUAAAAAAAUUAAUAAUGAUAUGGGAGCUGGACUACCGGAGAUCGUAACUGACAAACCAAGUGACAAUAGAGAGGGAGUUGACAAAAAUCAAUCUAUUGGCAAUCAAGGCAAUGCUUAUUCAUAUAAGAAUGAGAUUGGAGAGAGAAACUUAGGCGCUGUUAGUGCAGAAGAUGACAAGGAUGUAAAGCAGAAAAAGAAGAAGAAGGUCCAAUCAGAUAAACAUGUUUCAGAAGGAAAUGAGAUUGGGGAGAAUAACCUUCAUGCUGUUAGUGCAGUAGUUGACAACAAGGACGCGAAGCAGAAAAAGAACAAGAAGGCCAAUCCAGGUAAACAUGUUUCAGAAGCAAAUUGUGAUAAAGGUGCCGAAGAUGACAAGGAUGCCAAGCAGAAAAAGAAGGAGAAGAAGAAGAAGAUGGUCAAAUCAGAUAAACAUCAUGAGAUUGGGGAGAGGAACCUACAUGCUGUUAGCACUAAAGAUGACAACAAGGAUGCCGAGCCGAAAAAGAAGAAGAAGAAGAAAGCGGAAUCAGGUAAACAUGUUUCAGAAGGAAAUUGUGGUAAAGAUGCAGCAAUAACCAAGAAAGAUUUUGGGACCACUUAUGAGAAUUCUACACCUGGACGAACGUCUAAGAGAGUGAGUUUCUCAGAUCGUGUGGAGGUUUUUACUUCAUCUGAUGGUCCAAUUGAUAGUAAUCAGGAUGACAACUUAAUACGUGGCAAAAGGUUUUCACGAGAAGAAGAUGAGAUGAUUAAAAAGGCCGUUCUAAACUAUAUUGAAGCAAAGGGCUUAGGUGAUGAAGGCCUAAACAUGGUUCUCCACUGCAAGUCUCAUCCUGAACAUAAAAAUUGUUGGAAGGAUAUAGCAGCAGCCUUACCUUGGAGGCCUUUCAAGAGUGUAUAUUAUCGAGCCCAUAUUUUGUUUGAAAGGAGUGAAGAGAGGAAAUGUACCAAUGAAGAGUAUGAACUUAUUCGAAGUUUCCAUGAAAAACAUGGAUCAGAAUGGAGAAAGUUGGCUGAUGUUCUUGGCAAACAUAGGAUUCAUGUAAAGGAUACAUGGCGAAGAAUAAGAUUGCCCAAUAUGAAGAAAGGUCGUUGGUCCCAAGAUGAGUAUCAAAAACUAUUUGAUUUAGUUAACAUGGAUUUGCGCAUGAAGUUCUUUGAAGAAAAGAAAUCCAAACACGGUAUGUUGCGAGAUAAUAUUGCUUGGGAAGCCAUUAGCAACAGUUUAUCCACCAGAAGCAACGUUUUGUGUUGCCAAAAAUGGUAUACCCAAUUAACGUCACCUAUGGUAGCUGAAGGUAUAUGGGCGGAUGCUGACGACUAUCGCCUAGUGGAUGCUCUUUAUGCCUUGGAUGCUUGCUGCAUUGAAGAUGUGGAUUGGGAUAAUCUGCUUGAGCAUAGGUCUGGGGAUGUAUGUUGGAGGCGUUGGGAUCAGAUGCUCAAACAUAUUGGUGAGCAUGCCAGCAAGUCAUUUACCGAACAAGUUAAAGUCCUCUCCAAACGGUAUUGCACAAACGUACUUGAAGCAAGAGAGACCUAUGAUAGCAAGUCUGCAGUUUUGUGAGGGCAAUGUCCUUAUUAGCUGCUCGUCCGUCGAUUGAACUAUACCUUUGAGUAUCUUUGCAGAAUGCACAAAACUGUCUAUCGAGGAUAUGGAGCAUCUUCUUAUGAAGAGCCACUCUGUUCAUCUGAUUGAGAGUAUAAUUGAUCAAGUUGAGGGAACAGUGCAUGUAUUCUGGGUGCAGCCAAGAGUUUUGACCGUCUGAACAUUUGGUUGGAAAAGGUGCAAACAGCUUUGAUGUCCAUGGGGGCAGAAACACCUGAUCUUGUUGCAUCCUGAUUUUGUUAUUUGAUAUGAUUAUGCCCAUUGUAACAAUUCCUUGACAAAAAAGGGGGAAAUUGCAUGGCCAAUCGAGGAAAAAAAAAAAAAAAAAAACUGUUAAAUCGCUUGGUCGGUAGGCCCAGUUGUAUGCUUCCUUUCUUUUGCCUGAAUCACUUUCCUGGAAGGAGCAGCCCCCUAUACUUCCAGUUGGGAAUCAUCAGUUCUGUGGUGGCAUGACAUGCUUAGAGACAUGGUGCAUCAAAUGAAAAACCAAAAAAAAGAAAGAGGGGCUGUUUGUACACAUUACAGUGGCAACUGAGACUUUGUAUUUGGAAUUUUUCAUGGAUACAAUUGGGAUGUGAUCGUCUUAA